UACGAAGGGGGCUAGCGUUGCUCGGAAUCACUGGGCGUAAAGGGUGCGUAGGCGGAUCUUUAAGUCAGGGGUGAAAUCCUGGAGCUCAACUCCAGAACUGCCUUUGAUACUGAAGAUCUUGAGUUCGGGAGAGGUGAGUGGAACUGCGAGUGUAGAGGUGAAAUUCGUAGAUAUUCGCAAGAACACCAGUGGCGAAGGCGGCUCACUGGCCCGAUACUGACGCUGAGGCACGAAAGCGUGGGGAGCAAACAGGGAU
rnacentral:rRNA from 1 species